UGUUUACUUUCAUGACCUAUGAGAACGGAAAACAUGUUUGCAGUCAGCACAUAUUCCUAUCUAGAAACCACUAACAGAAAUAUACAGGGGUUUGUUUUGCUGGUAAAUAUAUAUAUAAGAUGGAAACUCAGAUAAAAGAGCUUCAUUGUGUUUGACCUGCAUCUUCCACAAGACAUGCCUUCAAAAUUAAGUUCAGAAUGUCUGUGGCCUCAUCAUGUGAAAAAAAAAAAAAAAUCUUGGAGAGACAGUGGAGUGUGUGUAAGUGUAGGUACAGGAUUAGUGUGUGUGUGUGUGUGUGUGUUUGUGUCCACAAAAGCAGAAGCAAUGCUGAUGAAUCUGAUUCUCUCAAAAGACAGAUCCUUAAUUCUAAAAUAAGGAACACCAGCGAGCCAAUAGGACAUUUUUAGGAGAGGAUGGUCUAAACAUAAAUGUAGGGAGCAGUGAUCAGAGACAGGAGGAGUACAUUGGAGCGUGCAGUGUGUAACCUUGUCUGAGUGUACUAAAACAGACAGGACUUGAACUGUCUAUAAAACAGAAAAUAAUGUGCCGUCAUUUAAUGGCGUUUUGGAGAUUUUUGUGGCAUCUCUUGCUUUGGGAAUCUUUAAGUCCAUAAUGGCUGCUAGGGAAUAUUUUAAGACAGGUUUAAAUUAUGUGCUUAGAGGAUGAAAACAAUGAUUUAACAUUCAAAGUACUACCCACAGCAAAGUGAACGAGCAUUUGGAGCAGCUGAAUGUUUUCAGGUUUCCGCCUCUCUUUAAGGAAUCCACAUAUGCUGAGGAUUUUUUAGCGUGCACGAUGCCGACUGACUGAGUGAGGGGGCAGCGUGCACACUAAAACAAUCUUCAG